rnacentral:misc_RNA from 1 species
AACUUUUAGCAAUGGAUCACUUGGCUCUCGCAUCGUUGAAGAACGCAGCGAAAUGCGAUAAGUAAUGUGAAUUGCAGAUUUCAGUGAAUCAUCGAAUCUUUGAACGCACCUUGCGCCCCCUGGUUAUUCCAUGGGGCAUGCCUGUUUGAGUAUCGUGAACACCUCAACUCUCCUGGUUUUGCCGUGAUGAGCUUGGACGUUGGGGGUCUUGCUGGCCUGUGGUCGGCUCCUCUCAAAUGAAUCAGCUUGCCAGUGUUUGGUGGCGUCACAGGUGUGAUAACUAUCUACGCUUGUGGUUUCCCACCGGGUAACCUUCAGUGAUGAAGGUUCGCUGGAGCUCAUAAAUGUCUCUCCUCAGCGAGGACAGCUUCUUGAAUGUUUGAUCUCAAAUCAGGUAGGGCUACCCGCUGAACUUAAGCAUAUCAAUAAGCGGAGGAU